rnacentral:tRNA from 1 species
GCCGUAUCUUAGUGGGAGAGCAUCUGCUUGGCAUGCAGAACGUCCCAAGUUCAAUUCCUGGCAUCUCCA